AGAGAGGUGACCGAGUGGUUGAAGGUGCUCGCCUGGAAAGUGAGUGUACCUCAAAAAGGUACCGGGGGUUCGAAUCCCUUCCUCUCUG
rnacentral:tRNA from 1 species